rnacentral:rRNA from 2 species
GCGGGGAAAAGAAACCAACAGGAUGCCUAGUACGCGAUUGAAGCAGCUCAAAUUGAAAUCUGCUUCGGCCGAGUGUAAUUGCAGAGGAAGCUUUAGGCGCGGCCCUUUUUGAGUCCCUUGAAACGGGGCGCCACAGAGGGUGAGAGCCCCGUAUAGUUGGAUGCCUAGCCUGUGUAAAGCUCCUUCGACGAGUCGAGUAGUUUGGGAAUGCUGCUCAAAAUGGGAGGUAAAUUUCUUCUAAAGCUAAAUACCGGCCAGAGACCGAUAGCGCACAAGUAGAGUGAUCGAAAGAUGAAAAGCACUUUGAAAAGAGGGUUAAAUAGCACGUGAAAUUGUUGAAAGGGAAGCGCUUGUGACCAGACUUGCGCCAGGCUGAUCAUCCGGUGUUCUCACCGGUGCACUCUGCCCGGCGCAGGCCAGCAUCGGUUCUCGCGGGGGGAUAAAGGCCCCGGGAACGUAGCUCCUCCGGGAGUGUUAUAGCCCGGGGCGUAAUGCCCUCGCGGGGACCGAGGACCGCGCAUCUUGCAAGGAUGCUGGCGUAAUGGUCACCAGCGACCCGUCUUGAAACACGGACCAAGGAGUCAAGGUUUUGCGCGAGUGUUUGGGUGUAAAACCCGCACGCGUAAUGAAAGUGAACGUAGGUGAGAGCUUCGGCGCAUCAUCGACCGAUCCUGAUGUAUUCGGAUGGAUUUGAGUAGGAGCGUUAAGCCUUGGACCCGAAAGAUGGUGAACUAUGCUUGGAUAGGGUGAAGCCAGAGGAAACUCUGGUGGAGGCUCGCAGCGGUUCUGACGUGCAAAUCGAUCGUCAAAUCUGAGCAUGGGGGCGAAAGA